rnacentral:rRNA from 1 species
UGGGGAAUCUUGCGCAAUGGCCGCAAGGCUGACGCAGCGACGCCGCGUGUAGGAGGACGCCCCUCGGGGUGUAAACUACUGUUGCCCGGGACGAACCGGCCUACUCGUAGGCCCUGACGGUACCGGGUGAGGAAGCACCGGCUAACUCCGUGCCAGCAGCCGCGGUAAUACGGAGGGUGCGAGCGUUGUCCGGAAUCACUGGGCGUAAAGGGCGCGUAGGUGGCCGUGGCAAGCGUGCGGUGAAAGCCCGGGGCUCAACCCCGGGUCGGCCGUGCGGACUGCCGGGCUGGGGCCCACUAGGGGCAGGCGGAAUUCCGGGUGUAGCGGUGGAAUGCGUAGAGAUCCGGAAGAACACCGGUGGCGAAGGCGGCCUGCUGGGGUGGAGCCGACACUGAGGCGCGACAGCGUGGGGAGCAAACAG